rnacentral:rRNA from 1 species
AGGGAAUCUUCCGCAAUGGACGAAAGUCUGACGGAGCAACGCCGCGUGAGCGAUGAAGGCCUUCGGGUCGUAAAGCUCUGUUGUCAGGGAAGAACAAGUAUCGGAGUAACUGCCGGUACCUUGACGGUACCUGACCAGAAAGCCACGGCUAACUACGUGCCAGCAGCCGCGGUAAUACGUAGGUGGCAAGCGUUGUCCGGAAUUAUUGGGCGUAAAGCGCGCGCAGGCGGUCCUUUAAGUCUGAUGUGAAAGCCCACGGCUCAACCGUGGAGGGUCAUUGGAAACUGGGGGACUUGAGUGCAGAAGAGGAAAGCGGAUUUCCACGUGUAGCGGUGAAAUGCGUAGAGAUGUGGAGGAACACCAGUGGCGAAGGCGGCUUUCUGGUCUGUAACUGACGCUGAGGCGCGAAAGCGUGGGGAGCAAAC